rnacentral:rRNA from 1 species
AUACGGAGGAUCCGAGCGUUAUCCGGAUUUAUUGGGUUUAAAGGGAGCGUAGGUGGAUUGUUAAGUCAGUUGUGAAAGUUUGCGGCUCAACCGUAAAAUUGCAGUUGAAACUGGCAGUCUUGAGUACAGGAGAGGUGGUCGGAAUUCGUGGGGUAGCGGUGAAAUGCUUAGAUAUCACGAAGAACUCCGAUUGCGAAGGCAGCUCACUAGACUGUUACUGACACUGAUGCUCGAAAGUGUGGGUAUCAAACAGGAUUAGAUACCCUGGUAGUCCACACAGUAAACGAUGAAUACUCGCUGUUUGCGAUAUACAGUAAGCGGCCAAGCGAAAGCAUUAAGUAUUCCACCUGGGGAGUACGCCGGCAACGGUGAAACUCAAAGGAAUUGACGGGG